rnacentral:tRNA from 1 species
UGCCGGCAUGGCGUGGCGCGCGGUCCACUCCCGGUAGGCCAGCUCGGCGUCGACGUUCCAGGCGUUGUCGUCCG